CCUACGGGGGGCAGCAGUGAGGAAUAUUGCUCAAUGGGCGCGAGCCUGAACCAGCCAAGUAGCGUGAAGGAUGACUGCCCUACGGGUUGUAAACUUCUUUUACAAAGGAAUAAAGUGAAGAACGUGUGCCUUUUUGUAUGUACUUUAUGAAUAAGGAUCGGCUAACUCCGUGCCAGCCGCCGCGGUAAUACGGGGGAUCCGAGGGUUAUCCGGAUUUAGUGGGUUUAAAGGGAGCGUAGAUGGGUUGUUAAGUCAGUUGUGAAAGUUUGCGGCUCAACCGUAAAAUUGGUAUUGAUACUGGCAGACUUGGGUACAGUUGGGGUAGGCGGAAGUCGGGGUGUGGCGGUGAAAUGCUUGGAUAUCACGAAGAACUCCGAUUGCGAGGGCAGCUUACGGAACUGCAACGGACAUUGAUGCUGGAAGGGGUGGGUAUCAACAGGAUUAGAUACCCGAGUAGUC
rnacentral:rRNA from 1 species